rnacentral:rRNA from 1 species
CAGGACGAACGCUGGCGGCGUGCUUAACACAUGCAAGUCGAACGGGAGUAUUGAAGAAGCUUGCUUAGAGAUACUUUAGUGGCGGACGGGUGAGUAACGCGUGAGGAGCUGUCCUAUGCAGGGGGACAACAGCUGGAAACGGCUGCUAAUACCCCAUAAGCCGAGAGGUAAAAGGAUCAAUCCGGCAGAGGAGGUACUCGCGUCCUAUCAGCUAGUAGGUGAGGUAACGGCUCACCUAGGCGAAGACGGGUAGCCGGCCUGAGAGGGCGAACGGCCACACUGGAACUGAGAUACGGUCCAGACUCCUACGGGAGGCAGCAGUGGGGAAUAUUGGGCAAUGGGGGGAAACCCUGACCCAGCGACGCCGCGUGGGUGAAGAAAUCCUUCGGGAUGUAAAGCCCUGUUGUAUGGGAAGAGCGGAAGACGGUACCAUACGAGGAAGCCCCGGCAAACUACGUGCCAGCCGCAGC